AUUGAACGCUGGCGGCAGGCCUAACACAUGCAAGUCGAGCGCGCGGCGCACUGUUGAGUCCUGUCUUGGCAACUGCCUGAUUGCGGGGGCUACCUACUGGACCCGGUAGCUAAUACCGCAUCCCAUCAGCUGUGACCAGAUGGGCUUAGCUAGUAGGUGGGGUAACGGCUCACCUAGGCGACGAUCCCUAGCUGGUCUGAGAGGAUGACCAGCCACACUGGAACUGAGACACGGUCCAGACUCCUACGGGAGGCAGCAGUGGGGAAUAUUGCACAAUGGGCGCAAGCCUGAUGCAGCCAUGCCGCGUGUGUGAAGAAGGCCUUCGGGUUGUAAAGCACUUUCAGCGGGGAGGCGUUACCCGAAGAAGAAGCACCGGCUAACUCCGUGCCAGCAGCCGCGGUAAUUC
rnacentral:rRNA from 1 species